UACGUAGGGGGCAAGCGUUGACCGGAUUAUUGGGCGUAAAGAGCGUGUAGGCGGCUUGGUAGGUCUCGCGUCAAAACCUGAGGCUCAACCUCAGUUCGCGUGGGAAACCACCUAGCUAGAGUCCGGAAGAGGAGAACGGAAUUCCCAGUGUAGCGGUGAAAUGCGUAGAUAUCAAGAGGAACACCUGAGGCGAAGGCGGGUUGCUAGGCUGACACUGACGCUGACAGCGCGAAAGCCAGGGGAGCAAACGGG
rnacentral:rRNA from 1 species